rnacentral:rRNA from 1 species
UACGAAGGGGGCUAGCGUUGUUCGGAAUUACUGGGCGUAAAGCGUGUGUAGGUGGUUGUCAUAGUCAGGCGUGAAAGCCUUGAGCUCAACUCAAGAAAUGCGCUUGAUACUGGGCAGCUAGAGGACCGGGAGAGGUGAGUGGAAUUCCCAGUGUAGCGGUGAAAUGCGUAGAUAUUGGGAGGAACACCAGUGGCGAAGGCGGCUCACUGGACCGGAACUGACGCUGAGGCGCGAAAGCGUGGGGAGCAAACAGG